CUGACUUCUCCAACUCUUCCUGCUCCCAGCUCGCCAUCUUCCUCCGAUUCUCGACGAAACAUGGAAUUGGAAGAAGGGAAUCCUGAAGCGCAACAAAGUGGUACCUCGAUAUUGAUAUCUGGUGCAACAAGGACUGGGCCUGUGCUGUCUCCUUCUUUGAUAAACCGCUCUAGAGCUUAUGUUGCGGCUUGGUCUGCACGUGAUACUCAAAUGGAUGAUUUGGAAGAAGAUGAUGCCGACGAACAAGAUGUCGACUAUGAAGAAGAGGAAGAAGAUGA